CACUGUUCUCAGGGCGGGGCGGAAUUCCCCACCGGCGGUAUGGGGCCAAUCGCGCCCCGAGCCCGCGAGCGCUCCGGCCCCAUGGCCGGGGGUCAGCAGAUCUGGUGAGACUCCAGGGCCGACGGUCAUAGUCCGGAUGGAAGAGAACGCCG
rnacentral:ncRNA from 1 species